rnacentral:hammerhead_ribozyme from 1 species
AUCCAGUUGACGAGUCCUAAAUAGGACGAGAUUCGCAUCUUGGAU